rnacentral:rRNA from 1 species
UGGGGGAUAUUGCACAAUGGGCGAAAGCCUGAUGCAGCGACGCCGCGUGGGGGAUGAAGGCCUUCGGGUUGUAAACUUCUUUUGCUCUGAACAAGGCAUGCUAAUGGGUGUGUUGAGUGUAGGGGUUGAUUAGCGCCGGCUAACUACGUGCCAGCAGCCGCGGUAAUACGUAGGGCGCGAGCGUUGUCCGGAAUUAUUGGGCGUAAAGGGCUUGUAGGUGGCUGGUUGCGUCUGUCGUGAAAGCUCAUGGCUUAACUGUGGGUUAGCGGUGGGUACGGGCUGGCUUGAGUGCAGUAGGGGAGGCUGGAAUUCCUGGUGUAGCGGUGGAAUGCGCAGAUAUCAGGAGGAAUACCGGUGGCGAAGGCGGGUCUCUGGGCUGUUACUGACACUGAGGAGCGAAAGUAUGGGGAGCGAACAGG